ACGAGCGCUGGCGGCGUGCUUAACACAUGCAAGUCGAACGGUGAAGCGCCUUCCUUUUUGGUGGGUGUGGAUGAGUGGCGAACGGGUGAGUAACACGUGAGUAACCUGCCCCCUUCUUCUGGAUAACCGCAUGAAAGUGUGGCUAAUACGGGAUAUUCUGGGUCUGUCGCAUGAUGGGUCUGGGAAAGAUAUUGUUUCGGUGGGGGAUGGGCUCGCGGCCUAUCAGCUUGUUGGUGGGGUGAUGGCCUACCAAGGCGGUGACGGGUAGCCGGCCUGAGAGGGUGGACGGUCACACUGGGACUGAGACACGGCCCAGACUCCUACGGGAGGCAGCAGUGGGGAAUAUUGCACAAUGGGCGCAAGCCUGAUGCAGCGACGCCGCGUGAGGGAUGGAGGCCUUCGGGUUGUGAACCUCUUUCGCCAGUGAAGCAGGCCUGCCUCGUUUGUGGGUGGGUUGACGGUAGCUGGAUAAGAAGCGCCGGCUAACUACGUG
rnacentral:rRNA from 1 species